ensembl:rRNA 5S_rRNA 5S ribosomal RNA
UGCCAUAGCCAUAUCAUCCCCCUGUAGCCCAAGACUGGUUGCCCACUGAAGCUAAGCAGGAUUGAGCCUGGUCAGUACCCAGAUGGGAGACUUCCUGGGAAAACUAUGUUGCUGCUGGAA